GACGAACGCUGGCGGCGUGCCUAACACAUGCAAGUCGAACGGAAAGGCCCUGCUUUUGUGGGGUGCUCGAGUGGCGAAGGGGUGAGUAACACGUGAGUAACCUGUCCCUGACUUAGGGAUAUCUUCAGGAAACUGGGGCUAAUACCGGAUAGGAGCUCUUGCUGCAUGGUGGGGGUUGGAAAGAUUCGGCGGUUGGGGAUGGAUUGGCGGCUUAUCAGCUGGAUGGUGGGGUAGUGGCUUACCAAGUUUUUGACGGGUAGCCGGCCUGGGAGGGUGACCGGGCACAUUGGGACUGAGAUACGGCCCAGACUCGUACGGGAGGCAGCGGUGGAGAGUAUUACACAGUAAGCGGAAGCCAGAUGCGACAACGCCGCGUUCGGGAUGACGUGCUUCGGGUUGUGAACCACUUUCGCCUGAAACGAAGCGUGAGUGACGGUAAUGGGUAAAGAAGCACCGGCUAACUACGUG
rnacentral:rRNA from 1 species